rnacentral:rRNA from 1 species
UACGUAGGUGACAAGCGUUGUCCGGAUUUACUGGGCGUAAAGAGCGCGCAGGCGGUCGGAUAAGUCGAAUGUGAAAGCCCCCGGCUCAACUGGGGAGGGUCAUUCGAUACUGUUCGACUCGAAGGCAGGAGAGGGAAGUGGAAUUCCGGGUGUAGUGGUGAAAUGCGUAGAUAUCCGGAGGAACACCAGUGGCGAAGGCGGUUGCCUGGAGCUUUGCUGACGCUGAGGCGCGAAAGCGUGGGGAGCGAUCCGG